rfam:Erinaceus europaeus unplaced genomic scaffold scaffold00740, whole genome shotgun sequence
CCAAAGGCUCUUUUAAGAGCCACCUACAGUCUCAGCUCUUAAGAA